UUUUGUAAAAGAAAGGGAAGCUAUGAGCUGGAACUCAUGGCUUCCCCCGUAGAACCGUUUAAGACGGUGACAUUGUUAAUGGUAAAAAAUA
rnacentral:sRNA from 1 species